UCUACAGUAAGUAUUCUCGCUAUUUAAUAUAACCCUAAAGAAUUCUAAUUUCUCUUUUUAAUAAGAAAAACUUAUCUGCCGGCUCCUCAAGCAGUGCCUCCAGCAACGGCAAGAACCUCUGCGCUCGCUCCCUGAAAGCCUGACGCAGAGCCGAGAGAGGCGUAUUUAUGGGCGAAGGACGGCGCACGCCGUCGCAUUGAAUAACCCUCCGAACUCCUUUGUGAGGGAAGGAAGCAAAAAUAGUCCCUCGGCAGGUUAAAAAUAGAAACUGGUUUUUACAAGCCUUUCUAGAUUUUUCCUAACCAUUUAUGCAGCUUGAUUGCAAACCAUAUAACCAAAAAUAUUUGACUUAGUAGCAAUUAGAUUUUAGCCGAAAACUUAAAAACAAUGAAAAUCACGUUUAAGUAGACAGUUCACAAAAACUCAGAGCCAUUGCUUAGAAAUUUUUUCGUAGCACACAAAAAUACUUUUCAUAUUUUCUUGGCGUACAGUAGGUAGUAUUUAGUGCUUUUUGAAGGAAGGGUAAAAUGGGUUUGUCCAUGGCCUUAGUUUUCAUUAUGUAACAGCGUCAGCCUGCCUCAUGCAGACCGCAGCCAUUUUAGGAGCAGCAAAGUGUCGAAAUUUCUCCCCAAACUCCUGAAGUCCUGCCGGUACUAAGUGCCAGCUAGACCCCCUACGCUUCUGGUUUCCUGCUUAGACUUGGUAAAUCGAGCUUGGAUUAAUUUUGUUCUUCCCAAACCUGGGACGUUUGGAAGUUUCCAGGCUUCUCACUCAAUCGAAAUCCAAACCCGCUGUCAAAACCAACUUUGUCUUCUUUAAAGUAUCCAAAGAAAGCCAAGGCUUUUUGCCUCCAAGAUACAGCGACCUCGGGCAGCCAGACCCAGGACGUAUUUGUUAUCAGAUGUUUGCGAAUCAUCGUUCAUGGGUCUGCUUUUCUAGGCUCCCUCGUUUGUUUCACAAGUUCCCCAUAAUCUCUGGUUUGCCUCUACUCUUACUUUUUAAGUUUGAGCUAGAAUGAAAAUAAAAGCUUCUCCAAACCC